UCAUCUAUUUUCUCCACAAGGAAGAUGUAGUGAUACUCAGGCUUGAGGGAGGACUAGGCCUCAGUGAGACUAAGAGCUUGUAAGGUGGGCCUCUCCAAAUAUGAAAGAAAGCCUGGGAGAGUCAAGUCCCUGUGGCCCAACCCAGAGCGAGGGACAGGGUUUACUGGACAACGGUCUAUAAAGAAGUAGGGGAGGGGUGUGUUAGAAUUCAGUUCUUCCCUGAAGGCCUUGCUGUGAGGUCUGAUAAGCAACUACUGUAAAGAAAGGAAGACCAACAGCCUUGGGCUGGAAAUCAACUGGACGUUCUUUACCAGGAAUCAACAGAGAGGCACAGCCAGGAACACGCAUUCGGUGAGGAGGACGCAAAACAACAUUCUGCAAGUGGAGCACUGAGGCUUGGCACGGGGCCUCCUCCCAGUGCCCACACAACUUUGAAGAGUGAUGAAUUGAUGAUGAUGGCAGACAACAAUGGCAGUACACACACACGUUUUUGGCACAUUUAUUUUCCGCAACCUGUGGCAUGUGAUCACUGUGCAGUGCACAACUAUGUAGAGGCAAGCAAUCUUUGAAUUAAAAUGCUGACAACUCACAA